GUCUUGGGUGUUAUUAAUAAUUCACAUUAUUUAUACCGGAUGGCAAUACUAAGGGCAAUAUCUUUACUUGCACCUGUAAUGGGUUCUGAGAUAACAUGUUCUAAGUUGCUGCCAGUGGUUAUUACUGUAGCAAAGGACAGAGUGCCCAACGUCAAAUUUAAUGUUGCAAAGGUGUUGCAGUCCCUUAUCCCUGUUGUUGACCAAUCAGUAGCAGAGAAAAUGAUUCGCUCUAGUUUAGUAGAGCUAGCUGAGGACCCUGAUGUCGAUGUCCGUUUUUAUGCAAGUCAAGCACUUCAGUCAAUUGAUGGUGUCAUGAUGUCAAGCUAGACAAACUUAUCUGUUGGGGGUUCACUACCAGAAAUCUGUUGUCAAAUACUCUCUGGACGUCUGGGAUUACGCCGUCACACCAGGAAACAGU
rnacentral:misc_RNA from 1 species